rnacentral:rRNA from 1 species
AUUGAACGCUGGCGGCAGGCCUAACACAUGCAAGUCGAACGGUAACAGGAAGCAGCUUGCUGCUUUGCUGACGAGUGGCGGACGGGUGAGUAAUGUCUGGGAAACUGCCCGAUGGAGGGGGAUAACUACUGGAAACGGUAGCUAAUACCGCAUAACGUCGCAAGACCAAAGAGGGGGACCUUAGGGCCUCUUGCCAUCGGAUGUGCCCAGAUGGGAUUAGCUAGUAGGUGGGGUAACGGCUCACCUAGGCGACGAUCCCUAGCUGGUCUGAGAGGAUGACCAGCCACACUGGAACUGAGACACGGUCCAGACUCCUACGGGAGGCAGCAGUGGGGAAUAUUGCACAAUGGGCGCAAGCCUGAUGCAGCCAUGCCGCGUGUAUGAAGAAGGCCUUCGGGUUGUAAAGUACUUUCAGCGGGGAGGAAGGGAGUAAAGUUAAUACCUUUGCUCAUUGACGAUACCCGCAGAAGAAGCACCGGCUAACUCCGUG